GUAUUUACAGACAGCACAUAUACUAAAAUUGGAACAAUACAGAGAUUAGCAUGGCCCCUGCUCAAGGAUGACACACAAAUUCGUGAAGUGUUCCAUAUAUAU
rnacentral:snRNA from 1 species